GACGUAGGGGGCCAGCGUUGCUCGGAAUUACUGGGUGUAAAGGGUUCGUAGGCGGUGUGGCAAGUCGGGAGUGAAAUCUCUGGGCUCAACUCAGGGGCUGCUUCCGAAACUGCCGUGCUAGAGUGUGGGAGAGGCGCGUGGAAUUGCAGGUGUAGCGGUGAAAUGCGUAGAUAUCUGCAGGAACACCCGUGGCGAAAGCGGCGCGCUGGACCACUACUGACGCUGAGGAACGAAAGCUAGGGAGCAAACAGG
rnacentral:rRNA from 1 species